AUAUGUAUUGCUUAUGUUCUGCUGUUAAUUUAGCUGUAGUAUCGUGUAAUAAUAAUAAUCAGGUCUUUUGGUGUUUUAUAAUAAUUAGAACUAUUGCCAAAUUGGCAAUAAAUGUUAUUUGUUAAUUCAUCAGUCUCAGGCAGCGGAUGUGCUGUCUGUAUUUUAUUUAAAUAAUUCUCACAAUAAUGGUAACGUGACACCAUCACAAGUUGAUUGACAAAACUAGAAAUGUUGUAAAAUUUAUAAAAAAAAAUAGUGUUAAUGCUCAUGAUGAAUUAAGGAGUAUCAAAAAAAAAAAAUUAUAGUAAAAAAUAUAUGUAAUGUUUAUUAUGUUUUAAAAUAUUGUUUUUCAGGUUUACCAGAAGAAUAAGUUUUAAAAUUAAUAUCAAGACUCGUUGGAAUAGUCUAUAUUAUUUGAUAAAUAUAUUUUUACAUUUGUAUCGUGUUGUCUCUUCUAUUUUAUUAAAAAGGCCUAAUGCACCUGAUUUAAUAACAACUAGAGAAAUAUUGAUUGCCAAAGAAGUUAAAAAUUUGAUGCAACCAAUUGAAGACUUGACAAAAAAAAAUCUGGUGAAGAAUAUACAAUUAGUACAAUUUUACCAUUGAUUAAUUGUAUCAAUAGUGCGGUGAAAAAUUGUCAAACUACAUCUUUAAUUGGUAUUGAAUUAAAACAAAAUAUAUUAUUUGAACUUGACAAGCGUUUUAAGAAUCUAGAAAUAUUCAGUGACUUUCCUCUAGCUACAUUACUAGACCCCAGAUUCAAGAAUCUUCAUUUCAAAGACCCUGUCUGCUGCCAAAAUGCUAUCGAAGUUGUAAUAAUAUGUCGAUACAAAAAGAAACUCUGAAUGUGUACAUUGUUUUGAACCUACUCCAUCAAAUGAACUCGUAGAUAAAAAGUUAGAUUCAUUUAAUCUUUGGUCAUACCAUACUUCAGUAUCGCCAUUCAGGUUCAGAAUAAAACAACUCCAAUAUAUCAAGAGUUGUAUGAUUAUUUGGGAAAGCCUGUAGAAAAAAUAGACAAUAAACCCCUUGAAGUUUGAGAAAACAUGAAGUCCUUAUACUCAAACUUAUAUUACAUUGCUAGUCAAAAAUUAAGUAUUGUCGCAACAUCUGUUCCAUCAGAACGCUUAUUUUCCAAAACUGGUUAAACAAUAUUUAAAGCAAGAAACAGAUUGACAGGAAAACAUUUAUCUAAGCUUGUCUUCAUGAGAUCUUUGAGAGAAGCAGAUUGGUUUUCAAAAGUCUUAUAAUUUUAUAAAAAAAUUUUAUAUAUAUAUUUUUAUUUUAUAAAAAGUAUUAAAUAUCUUUUAUUUUG